GGACCGUGAACCAGUCUCUUCUCUUCUAGUUCUCCUACCUGGUCGUCAGUUAACGACGAUGUGUGAUGCAAAGAUGAAUGGGACUUGCAGAGAAGACCAUAGACCGCAGGUGGCCUCCCUGCAACGUUGUAAUUUCCUACUGAUCUUGGAGACAAAAUGAAGUAGCUGACAAAAUGACUUGCAGGUUGCCUGCCUGAAACGAUGGGGCCCUGGUGUGUUGUCUGGACUCAAAAUGGUGUAUUGAAGCUCUUGGACGAGGAGACAAAAUGGAUAAGCUGACUAAAUGACUAGCAGGGGCCAGGUGAACUCUGAAGUCUGAUGGCUGUUCCUUGGAGACAUGCUUCGAUAAGAGAAGAGGUAAUUCUAUUCAUCCUCAGGCGAGUCCAAAGGGAAGCAACAUAGCAUGCUAAUCCCCGGACCGGAUCUGUCCUCCAAAUUGCCUGCGAUACCAAUGGGUAGUUAUUGGCAGUUGUGGCCCUUAUGGACUAUUGGCACAAAUGACUGUCCUACAAUUGCAUGUAUGUUGGAUAUAAACCCGAUCCCUUUUCAGUAUCUGGUGUUAACGUAAUAAUGUCUUCAUAGGUCAAUGAUGCAGAUUGAGCUGGUGCCUGGAUCAGGAUGCUGAUGCAGGAUAUGCUUGGACUUUAAAGGUCCGAAAGCUUACCUGCUUGGAAGGACUUGGACCAAGUAGAGGUGUAAAGUUUUUGAAGAUUCCUGUUAAAACAGGAUGCCGUUUUGCUUCAAAUAAAAAAGAACGUUAAACAAAUCAUGUUGAGUAUUCAUCUUUGCUUCACUUUCCAGAAACUCUGAACAAACUGACAUAUUAUUACUUCAAGGAAAAACCCUAUAUUAAGACUUUUUUUAAAAAGUAGAAUAACUUCAGCAAAGGCAAUUAGGGGAUGGGACACAACUGCUGUGUGGGCAUCCAGGAAGACUAGUCUGCGACAACUAAUGGGGAUCCAUAAUAAACAAUCCUUUGAAGACUUGUGGGCCAAUUCCAGCCAGACCUCCGCAGUGCAUUAUACAAUGCCAAAACUGGUCAUACAAUGAACAAGUUUGCUCUAAAUCUAGGAUCUUGUUAACCUGACAUCCAUUUGUAACUAUUCCACCCCUGUACUAGCCGGAUGUG